UGUUUCAUGGAAAGAGUACAAGUCUAUGACUUUCACGCACAUGGUUAUAAAUGAAGUAGUUAGGGUUAUAAAUGUUGCCCCUGGGAUUUUUCGCAAAGUUCUCAAGGAUGUUGAAAUAAAAGGGUAUACAAUUCCUGCUGGUUGGAAGAUAAUGGUUUGUCCAGCAUUAAUUCAUUUGGAUCCUAAUCGAUACGACAACCCCUAUGAAUUUAACCCAUGGCGAUGGGAGGUAAUUUAAUUAUUGACAGAUUCAAGUAA